GUUCUCAAACUAUAAGUCGAUAUUUUGGUCCUCAAAUUUUAAUUUUUUAUAAUUUUUAGCUUGAAUUUUCAGAAUUGUUGUAAUCAAGUUCAUAACCCAAUUAAGUAGACUAAAUGUUGAAGCAUUGUUAAUAUAAAAGUAAUAUAAUAUUUUAAUUAUUGACAUAUCAUUAAUUACUAUACUGCUACAUCACUUUCACAUUAACGACAUAUUAAUAAUUAAUCAACUAAAUUAGGUAAAA
rnacentral:lncRNA from 1 species